rnacentral:misc_RNA from 1 species
UGAACUUUGACUGCUACAACACCAACUUAUACAAGAAAAUGGAAGUUUAAGCAGUGGAUAAAAUCAUAGAAAUCUUUAUUCCACACAUAAGAAGAUACAUGUAAAUUGAUAAUAGUGCUCUAUAGGCAGAAGAGAUCAACACUAGUGUCCAAGGUCGAAGGUACAUAACACGCACUAGCCUGGCUGACCAGUUGAGCAAUGCUUUAAUUGUUCUCUGAAGGCAUACAGAAUCAUUAGAGUAUUUGAAAAAUUGUCUACCAUAUUUGAAAAACUCAAUGAAAUUGAAAGCUCAAUCUCAAUAAGACCAGCUGCAAUGAUGAUUUUUCAAAUGGACAGACAUUGCAUAAGCAGCGUACUCACAGCAACUACUUGCUCAUUAGGAUAAAAACUCCCGUAGGAUCCACUGUGCUAUUCUGGAAAUGUAAAAGUUACGAGCAGAGAAAAAAAAAUGCAACAUUUAAGGAAGAUAAGAACUCACCCUGCUCAUUCUUUUUGUUAUUACCAGUUCUUUGUCACUAGUCAAUGGUCAACCAGAUGUAAAAGCCCACUCCUUUUAUCUAGCACUCUUUGAAAAAUAUACCUGUACUUGAAUUAAAAAUUUUAGAAGCCAAACAUAAGAACGGGUUAAGGACCAAACUCAUUUGAUUGUUGAACUCCAAUUGUCCUAGUCCUACCCACUUCUAAGCAUGAUACAAAGGAUCUGCUCCCAA